GAAGGAGUAGGAGAAGGAACCCCUUUAGGGUCAAACCCAACAGCUCCUUCU
rnacentral:tRNA from 1 species